CGCGUGCACUGGUCCGGCCGGGCCUUUCCUUCUGUGGAACCCCAUGCCCUUCACUGGGUGUGGCGGGGAAACAGGACUUUUACUUUGAAAAAAUUAGAGUGCUCCAGGCAGGCCUAUGCUCGAAUACAUUAGCAUGGAAUAAUAAAAUAGGACGUGUGGUUCUAUUUUGUUGGUUUCUAGGACCGCCGUAAUGAUUAAUAGGGACAGUCGGGGGCAUCAGUAUUCAGUUGUCAGAGGUGAAAUUCUUAGAUCUACUGAAGACUAACUACUGCGAAAGCAUUUGCCAAGGAUGUUUUCAUUAAUCAGGAACGAAAGUUAGGGGAUCGAAGACGAUCAGAUACCGUCGUAGUCUUAACCAUAAACUAUGCCGACUAGGGAUCGGACGAUGUUAUUUUUUGACUCGUCCGGCACCUUACGAGAAAUCAAAGUGCUUGGGCUCCAGGGGGAGUAUGGUCGCAAGGCUGAAACUUAAAGAAAUUGACGGAAGGGCACCACCCAGGGGUGGAGCCUGCGGCUUAAUUUGACUCAACACGGGGAAACUCACCAGGUCCAGACACAAUAAGGAUUGACAGAUUGAGAGCUCUUUCUUGAUUUUGUGGGUGGUGGUGCAUGGCCGUUCUUAGUUGGUGGAGUGAUUUGUCUGCUUAAUUGCGAUAACGAACGAGACCUUAACCUGCUAAAUAGCCCGUACUGCUCUGGCAGUUCGCCGGCUUCUUAGAGGGACUAUCGG
rnacentral:rRNA from 1 species